UGGGGGAUAUUGCACAAUGGGCGAAAGCCUGAUGCAGCAACGCCGCGUGAGGGAAGACGGUUUUCGGAUUGUAAACCUCUGUUCUAAGUGACGAAAAAAUGACGGUAGCUUAGGAGAAAGCCCCGGCUAACUACGUGCCAGCAGCCGCGGUAAUACGUAGGGGGCAAGCGUUGUCCGGAAUUACUGGGUGUAAAGGGAGCGCAGGCGGAGAAGCAAGUCAGUGGUGAAAACGAUGGGCUUAACCCAUCGACUGCCAUUGAAACUGUUUCCCUUGAGUGAAGUAGAGGCAGGCGGAAUUCCGAGUGUAGCGGUGAAAUGCGUAGAUAUUCGGAGGAACACCAGUGGCGAAGGCGGCCUGCUGGGCUUUAACUGACGCUGAGGCUCGAAAGUGUGGGGAGCAAACAGGAUUAGAUACCCUGGUAGU
rnacentral:rRNA from 1 species